UACGGGAGGUGCAAAGCGUUACUCGGAAUCAUUGGGCGUAAAGCGCACGUAGGCGGUUCGUUAUGUCGGAUGUGAAAGCCCUUGGCUUAACCGAGGAAGUGCAUCCGAAACUGGCGAGCUAGAGUACGAAAGAGGAUCGCGGAAUUCCCGGUGUAGAGGUGAAAUUCGUAGAUAUCGGGAGGAACACCGGUGGCGAAGGCGGCGAUCUGGGUCGAUACUGACGCUGAGGUGCGAAAGCGUGGGGAGGCAAACAGG
rnacentral:rRNA from 1 species